rnacentral:rRNA from 1 species
AACGCGAAGAACCUUACCUAGGUUUGACAUCCUUUGACAACUGCAGAGAUGUAGCUUUCAUAGCAAUAUGACAAAGAGACAGGUGCUGCAUGGCUGUCGUCAGCUCGUGUGGUGGCAUGUCGGGUUAAGUCCCUCAACGAGCGCAACCCCUGUGUUUAGUUGCCAGCAUUAAGUUGGGCACUCUAGACAGACUGCCGUGGUUAACACGGAGGAAGGCGGGGAUGACGUCAAGUCCUCAUGGCCCUUACACCUAGGGCGACACACGUAAUACAAUGGUUGAUACAGAGGGAUGCGAAACGGCGACGUGGAGCAAAUCCCAAAAAGUCAAUCUCAGUUCGGAUUGGAGUCUGCAACUCGACUCCAUGAAGGCGGAAUCGCUAGUAAUCGCGGAUCAGCACGCCGCGGUGAAUACGUUCCCGGGCCUUGUACACACCGCGCAUA